AAAAAAAAAAAAAGGGAAUCAACUGAUGAUGCCACCAAAAAAACAAAAUUAAUUGUCCAGAUAACUAAGUAUACAAAACAAAACCAGAAGUAAUGGAGGGAAAAAUUCCAAGAACAGUGUCAUUUCAAACAUUUAAAUAGCAUGGUUAUAUUCCCAUUAAUAAAUUGCACUGCUUCUAGCUCUACUUUUCAAUACAUGGAAUUUAGUAGAUGAAACAAAAAUCAAUAACAGGAAGGAAAAACCAUGAGGUCCUGCUCAUAAUGGAUGUGGAAGAAUAAUGCAGGCCACAAAAAUAGGUGUGCAAAAAAUAGAAAAGGAUACCACUAACAUGCAGGCAACUGGCUGCCUGAGUGCCAGUGCCUUACAAGUUCCAAGGGUGUGCAUAUGCACACCAUCAUCUAGGCUUUUCCACAUUUACGUAGAUACCACUGCAUCAUAUUAAAUUAUAUACAUUUAGGCACAUACCACUGCAUCAUAUUAAAUUAUAUACAUUUAGGCAC
rnacentral:misc_RNA from 1 species